CAAGAACACUCUUUCCUACUAUUACGGACGUACUCCUACCUACUAACCAUCUGUCCUAAUUCGCGUCCUUCACACAUUCCUAUCAAGAGUCCUGUUCUCCGUAAGCUGUAACUGUUUUAUGCCAUGCCUAAUUACCUUUCUUCAAUAUUUCUUCGACUUACCUCUAUGCCGCCUAAAACCAUCCAACACACCCUCAACCUAACUAGGGACCAAUUUGAUUUUAAAAUGUUUUCCACCACAUCAAACACACCCUUAUUAUUCCAUAUAUAAGCAAUCUAAUGUAUUUACAUGUGAGAAUUUAUGAAUAAAGCAAA
rnacentral:lncRNA from 1 species